UAGAGCGUAGCUAAACAGAACAGCAUCUCCCUUACACCGAGAAGACACUCGUGCAAAUCGAGUCGCCCUAA
rnacentral:tRNA from 1 species